AGAUGCUAACUUUCUUACAGAGAUCGCUCCUUAGAUGUUGAAUACUUUUUUUCUUUUUAUCUUCAAAAAAGAACAUCAGAAAACUGGAGGAGGAAACAAGAUAUCAAAUCUCUUUUCUUUUGUCCAACUCUUGGAUAUCUGUGGAGGAAAGGGAGAGAGAGAGAGCCAUCCAACUCUUGGAUCAAAGAGAGAGGGCGUCCAACUACCUUAGACGUGUGGAAGAGAGAGAGGG
rnacentral:lncRNA from 1 species